rnacentral:rRNA from 1 species
AUUAGAUACCCUGGUAGUCCACGCAGUAAACGAUGAAUGCUUGCUGUCCGGGGGGAUUGACCCCUGGGGGGCGCAGCGAAAGCGAUAAGCAUUCCACCUGGGGAGUACGCCGGCAACGGUGAAACUCAAAGGAAUUGACGGGGGCCCGCACAAGCGGAGGAACAUGUGGUUUAAUUCGAUGAUACGCGAGGAACCUUACCCGGGCUCAAACGGGAGAUGACUCGGCCAGAGACGGCCGUUUCCGCAAGGACAUCUUCCGAGGUGCUGCAUGGUUGUUGUCAGCUCGUGCCGUGAGGUGUCGGCUUAAGUGCCAUAACGAGCGCAACCCCCGCGGGCAGUUGCUAACAGGCCAAGCUGAGGACUCUGCCCGGACUGCCGGCGCAAGCCGUGAGGAAGGCGGGGAUGACGUCAAAUCAGCACGGCCCUUACGUCCGGGGCGACACACGUGCUACAAUGGGUGGCACAGAGGGAAGCCAGGUGGCGACACCGAGCGGAACCCGAAAUCCACUCUCAGUUCGGAUCGGAGUCUGCAACCCGACUCCGUGAAGCUGGAUUCGCUAGUAAUCGCGCAUCAGCCAUGGCGCGGUGAAUACGUUCCCGGGCCUUGUACACACCGCCCGUCAAGCCAUGGGAGCCGAGGGCGCUUGAAGUGCGUCGCCGCGAGGCGCGCCCUAGAGCGAAAUCGGUGACUGGGGCUAAGUCGUAACAAGGUACC